rnacentral:rRNA from 1 species
UACAGAGGUCUCAAGCGUUGUCCGGAAUUAUUGGGCGUAAAGAGCUUGUAGGCGGUUUGUCGCGUCUGCUGUGAAAUUUCGGGGCUCAACCCCGAACUUGCAGUGGGUACGGGCAGACUAGAGUGUGGUAGGGGAGACUGGAAUUCCUGGUGUAGCGGUGAAAUGCGCAGAUAUCAGGAGGAACACCGAUGGCGAAGGCAGGUCUCUGGGCCACUACUGACGCUGAGAAGCGAAAGCAUGGGGAGCGAACAGGG